UGGGGAAUUUUGGACAAUGGGGGCAACCCUGAUCCAGCCAUGCCGCGUGAGUGAAGAAGGCCUUCGGGUUGUAAAGCUCUUUCGGACGGAAAGAAAUCGCGCAGGUGAAUAAUCUGCGUGGAUGACGGUACCGUAAGAAGAAGCACCGGCUAACUACGUGCCAGCAGCCGCGGUAAUACGUAGGGUGCGAGCGUUAAUCGGAAUUACUGGGCGUAAAGCGUGCGCAGGCGGCUUUGUAAGACAGGUGUGAAAUCCCCGGGCUUAACCUGGGAAUGGCGCUUGUGACUGCAAGGCUCGAGUGCGGCAGAGGGGGGUGGAAUUCCACGUGUAGCAGUGAAAUGCGUAGAGAUGUGGAGGAACACCGAUGGCGAAGGCAGCCCCCUGGGUCGACACUGACGCU
rnacentral:rRNA from 1 species